UACGGAGGGUGCAAGCGUUAUCCGGAUUCACUGGGUUUAAAGGGUGCGUAGGUGGCUUUGUAAGUCAGCGGUGAAAGCCUGGAGCUCAACUCCAGAAUUGCCAUUGAUACUGCAGAGCUUGAAUCAAGUUGAGGUGGAUGGAAUAUUACAUGUAGCGGUGAAAUGCUUAGAUAUGUAAUAGAACACCAAUUGCGAAGGCAGUUCACUAAGCUUGUAUUGACACUGAGGCACGAAAGCGUGGGGAUCAAACAGG
rnacentral:rRNA from 1 species